GCUAUUUUGGCAGAAAAAUGUAAUGGUUUUAGAAAUCGUGAAUAUGUAAUUAAUUAUAUAAGUAGUA
rnacentral:tRNA from 2 species